rnacentral:rRNA from 1 species
CAAGGGGGUUUCCCCUAGUAACGGCGAGUGAGCGGGAAGAGCUCAAAUUUGAAAUCUGGUGGCCUCAGGUCAUCCGAGUUGUAAUCUAUAGAAGUGUUUUCCGUGCUGGCUCAUGUACAAGUCCCUUGGAACAGGGCGUCAUAGAGGGUGAGAAUCCCGUCCUUGACAUGAACUACCAGUGCUCUGUGAUACAUUUUCAACGAGUCGAGUUGUUUGGGAAUGCAGCUCAAAAUGGGUGGUAAAUUCCAUCUAAAGCUAAAUAUUGGCGAGAGACCGAUAGCGAACAAGUACCGUGAGGGAAAGAUGAAAAGCACUUUGGAAAGAGAGUUAAACAGUAUGUGAAAUUGUUGAAAGGGAAACGAUUGAAGUCAGUCGUGCUCUUUGGAUUCAGCCGGUUCUGCCGGUGUACUUCCUUUGAGUGGGGUCAACAUCAGUUUUGAUCGCUGGAUAAAGGCUGGAGGAACGUAGUACCCUCGGGUAAACUUAUAGCCUCCUGUCACAUACAGUGGUUGGGACUGAGGAACGCAGCACGCCUUUAUGGCCGGGAUUCGUCCACGUACGUGCUUAGGAUGUUGACAUAAUGGCUUUAAACGACCCGUCUUGAACAACGGACA